rnacentral:rRNA from 1 species
UUCGCAAUGCCCGAAAGGGUGACGAAGCGACGCCGCGUGCGGGAAGAAGGCCUUCGGGUUGUAAACCGCUGUCGGGAGUUAAGAAAUGUAAGGAUGUUAAUAGCAUCUUUGCUUGACUAAGGCUCCGGAGGAAGCCACGGCUAACUCUGUGCCAGCAGCCGCGGUAAUACAGAGGCGGCAAGCGUUGUUCGGAAUUAUUGGGCGUAAAGAGCACGUAGGCGGCUAUGUAAGUCGGUUGUGAAAGCCUUCCGCUCAACGGGAGAACAGCAUCCGAUACUGCAUGGCUUGAGUGCGGGAGGGGAGAGUGGAACUUCUGGUGGAGCGGUGAAAUGCGUAGAUAUCAGAAGGAACGCCGGCGGCGAAAGCGGCUCUCUGGCCCAUAACUGACGCUGAGUGUGCGAAAGCUAGGGGAGCAAACGGGAUUAGGUACCCCGGUAGUCCUAGCCGUAAACGAUGGGCACUAAGUAGAGGGGUUUU